rnacentral:rRNA from 1 species
CCUACGGGAGUCAGCAGUGAGGAAUAUUGGUCAAUGGACGAGAGUCUGAACCAGCCAAGUAGCGUGAAGGAUGACUGCCCUAUGGGUUGUAAACUUCUUUUAUAUGGGAAUAAAACGUUCCACGUGUGGGAUUUUGUAUGUACCAUAUGAAUAAGGAUCGGCUAACUCCGUGCCAGCAGCCGCGGUAAUACGGAGAGUCCGAGCGUUAUCCGGAUUUAUUGGGUGUAAAGGGAGCGGAGGUGGAUUGUUAAGUCAGUUGUGAAAGUUUGCGGCUCAACCGUAAAAUUGCAGUUGAAACUGGCAGUCUUGAGUACAGUAGAGGUGGGCGGAAUUCGUGGUGUAGCGGUGAAAUGCUUAGAUAUCACGAAGAACUCCGAUUGCGAAGGCAGUUCACUGGACUGCAACUGACACUGAGGCUCGAAAGUGUGGGUAUCAAACAGGAUUAGAUACCCUGGUAGUC